GUCGAUUUCUAUUAACAUUGUUUUUAGAACAGCCCCUUUGUUCAACUGAAUGUAGUUAAAUUAUAAUGGACAUUAAUACCCAGCUCCACCUUCCCAGCCUCUUCAUAUUGCUGGUAUGACCUAGAUGCCUAGCUUUUCUCAUUUCCUCAGGUCAAGGUGAUAGCCACUGAUAUUUCUUUACUUUGGCAGCUGUAUUAGUAAAUAAUUUUUUUUUUGUUGCAAAUGACAGGAAGUUAACUCAGACUAGCUUAAGAAUAAGAAAAGGAAAAAUGGAGGUCAUCUAUAAGAGAGAUCCUGGAGUAGCUCACAGGCUGGAAGAAGAGCUGUAGGAACUGCGAAAAAAUCUGGGUUUCAAUGUAGUAAGAUUCCCUGUUCAUCAUCUACACCUACUUGUAUUUUUAUACCCAUAUUUGGAUAGACUUACUCCAAAAGGUAAGAAUAUAUCCACUAGCAGUCUGAGAGUCACAACUUUCCAGCUCAUUUGACCAAGCAGGCAAAAGGCCUUACUUCUGAGAACAAUCCUGGAGAAAGACUGUGGUCAACUCAUAUUGAGUCAUGUGCCCAUUUCUGAGCUAAUCGUGUGGCCAGAGACAUGGCAAGUCUGUUUAUGACCAGGAAGGUGAGACUGCAAUGGACUGGAUAGCGGGAUAGGAAGAUUUCUCCAAAGAGAAGAGAGAUGUUAUUAAUAGAAGAAGUAGGAAUAGCAAUGCUGGGCAGACACAUAUACAACACCAGCAGCUACCUGCUACUGCAUCCAAAAAGAUUCUUUAUCUGCAGUCACAGAGCCCUGAACAACCAGCCUUUCUGGCUUCCUUUUGUUGCCAAUUCCCUUACACAUAUUAUCCCUACCCAAGGCUGCAGGGAGGCUGUUUACACCGCAGUUCAGUGACAAAUCCUACCAGAGCAUUCCGUAUAACAGUGAAUGUCCUUGAUUAUGCUUAGCUCAUUCUGAAUUUAAAAAUCCAUCUCUGUGUCACUGCCUUUGUUAGGACAUUUCAUCUCUUCCCUGGAUUCUUUCAGUACCUUCAUUUCUUCUCUCCUACUUCUCUUGUCUCCUAAUUAUUUGCCUUCUACUUUUUUUGUUAGAGGUUAUAAACAGUUUGAAGAAAAAUACUUGAUGCUGGGCAAGGUGCUUCCCCCCUUGCUCUCUAAGCUCCUUAGAACAGGGGACAUUUUGUUUCUCUGUUGCUAUGGACUGAAUGUUUGUGUUUUCCCCAAAUUUUUAUGUCAAACCUUUAAACCCAACGUGAUGGUAUUUGGAGAUGAGGCCUUUGAAAGAUGAUUAAGUCUGAUGGUAGAACUUUUAUCAUGGAAUUAGUGUCCUUAUAAGAAGAGACAGGAGAGAGAUUACUUCCUCUCUUUCUCUGCUAUGUGAGGAUACAGCAAGGCAUCUGUCUUCAAACCAGGAAAAGGACCCUCACCAGGGACUGAAUGUACUAGUACAUUGAGCUUGGACUUCACAGCCUCUAGAACUGUGAGAAAUAAAUUUCUGAUGUUUAAGCCACCUAGUCUAUGGUAUUUUUGUCACAGCAGCCUAAAGUGAUGAAGACACCCAUCCACCUCUUCAUUCUUUUCUGUAUAAGCAGGAAAGGAGAACUACCUGGAUUCCUGAGUGUCUGAAGUUCAUCGUGCCACAUUUCGCAGUGUAAAGUAAGUGUUUACACACCCCACAUUCUCUUUUCUGGUCCUAAACCUUUCACCUCCUGUUCUCAGGGAUGGCCAGUACAUUUGUGCUUCCUUCUCUCAGGUGAAGGAGAACAUGUGACUUGGGCAGAGUCCUCUCUUUGCAUCUCAGCUUGAGACCAAAGCUGCCUUCUCUAAUACGGUUAUCAGAAAUCCUGCAUUUUGGGAGUUGGCUGUUCUUUGGUGAGCUCCCAUUUAACUCAUAGCCUUUAUGUAUGUGCAGCAUUUGUCAUGGAAGAAUAGGGCUAUAUCACCUCCAAAUAUAUGUAAUUUUUAUAUCAGAUUAUAUGAUUUUAAAAUAUAUUUUCUUGAAAAAAGUUAUUAAUUACUUCUAAGCAACCAAUAUCUCACAUUCCUCUGAUUAUUGAUUACCCAUGAUACUAAACUUUCUUUCCAUUCCAGCAUUUGAUACAGGAAUUCAAACAAAAUAUUGAACAUGUUUUAGCAAAUUUAGAGCAACAGAUUCUGGAGUGGGAAGACUCCAUUUAUUAAGGGAUGUUCCCUCAUAAGAAAUGAACAACAGGCCCACGGCAUGCUCCAUGUGGAGAACCUGGGGUGUGCUCAUUCUUCCAUGGCGAUUCUUGAGAUGUAAAUAACUCCAUCACAUGAAGGUGGAUUUCCAUAGUGAUCCAAACUCAAGUCACUCACAGCAGGCCAUGGGGAAUUUUCAAAAGGAAACCUCUUCUCCAGGCACUUGAGGGCUCUUGUGUACAUUUUCAGUGCUUCAGAGGGAAACGUCUUCAAGAACUGGCAAACAGCUGUUCGUCACGGCAAAUAUAUUUCUCAUUCCAAGGAAAGCAUCAACACAUUUUUUUCUCUCUCUCAAGGAAAUUCAGAACUAAAUGGAUUGAUUUAAAUUCUUGACUUAAGGAGACUAGCAGCUUUGAUAAUGCUGCCAAAUUCUCCUCACAGUAUCGGAAAGAAAAAAAUGACCUGAAGACUUGCACGGUAAGAAUUAUAAGUGGUGAAAGGAAGCUACUCAUCCCUGGUUUUUGGUAGACGGCAGCCUGGCAGUGGGCAGCACCGACCUGCAGAGAGGACAGAGGCAAUCGGGCACUGGGCUGCCUGCCAUGGAGGCCCCGAACUGAUGGGUGGCUGGGUCCCCUAGGUCCAGGCAAAACACCAGAGCAUCACACAGUUCAUCCGUGAGGGUGAGCCUGAGGGUACACCUGAACUCUCACAUACAGCCACAUCAUAUCUUGAUAAGGACUCUCAGUCAUGAAAUUCCAGACAUUCUAAUGUUUCCUAAGCAGAAAACUCAAAUAACAAGUGGUUCAGUUGAAAUUAAACUACCUGGCAAAACUGAAGUCUAACUUUGGCACUUUCUGCUAAAAACCCUUCUGGCUCUCCAUAGUCUUUUUCACAUAGAGUCAAGUGCCUUAGAAUAUACAAAGCUCUCUACGAUCCCACCCCUUUCUGCCAUCACAGCUUCAUUGCCUGUCUCUACCUCUACUUCUUUUCUACUUCUUUGCUAUGCUGUAACAUGCAGAAACAUUUGUAGAGCUUGACGACAUUAUUCCAGAAUACCUUCCUCCCCUUCUUUGGGCAAUUCUUACAUGCAUUUUAAGACUCAGCUUGGAUGUGGCAUCUUUUAGGAAAUCCCAGUUCCAGCAGGCUGAGCUAAGAGCCCUUGGUCCAUGCUUCCUCUGCAGCGUUUGCCCUGUCACGAUUUUCAACGCACUAACACAAAAUGAUCUCUUUUUGUGUCUGGCUACCCACUGAAAUGCAAGUUCUUUGAAAGUAUCCUUUUUUUGGUAUCCUUCAUACCACCGUGGUAUGUGGCAGGCAGUAGGUCCUGUAACGUGAGCUUAACUAAACCCAAGUGAGAUCAUUUUAUGAUAUUCUGAAAGCUCUAACCUCAGGACAGCUGCAGAGCAGUCACUCCCAUGCAGGUUGAAUAAGCACUAACACUUUUACAUCCAGGUCACAUCUCAGCCAGUACAAAUGUUCUCAGUCACUUUAAGGCUUUCAGCCUAGCCAUACCCAGAACAAAGGUUGGAACACUUUUCAAAGGGACUUGCUGAAAAACGAAUUCCUUUCACAUAAAAGCAUGAAGGAGUUUGGAAGGCAGGCGAUGGGGAUUGUUUUCACUCAUAAACCAUGGGCAAAAGAGAUCCUGAGAUAGUAUGGUCAGAUUUUGGAAGCAGAAACACCAGAGGCCCUGUAUCAGUUUUCAGCCUGGUCUGUUCACUCCAACCGAUGAUUUAUUUGUAGCUGUAGAGGUUCUAAAUGUUGCUGUGGCUGGGACAUGAAGGAGGCAACCAGUCCAAAAGCUGUUUGUGUGUUUUUAUCAGCACCUAGACAAGCAAUCACUAUUCCUAAGCUGUCGAGAACCACGAAAGAGUAUAAGCUACGUGUAUAAGAGAGACAUCAGGGUUGGACAGCUAGGUGGGUGGCUGGAAAACAUCCUGUCAAGGUAGAGGGGAGGGUAAGGCACUGAACUACUAGAGAAAGCGACUUAACCUCUGGUAGACCCUGGGUCUGCUCCUUCUCCAGCGUAUCUGAGCCUCAGUUUUGUUUAAUCUAAAAGGUAACAAAAUCAGUGUGACAAGUAGAAAAUUUAAAUGUUAUGAGCGCUCCUCAAACUCUUUCUCCUUCAGUGCAUACCAAAUUCUGAACAGCUGGCUCAGCUUCUGCAAUUUUGUGGUAAAAAAUGAUAUAAUGGGUUCACAAGGGAAGGAUCCAGUAGAGCCUGGCCAAGCUCAAUUGAUUUACAUGGAACCAGCUGGCCAUGGGAGAGAAAAGGAUGAAAGAGAUCAUGGCCAGGAUGGGCUAGGAGAGUUUGGAGAGGAAAAAAGUAGGUUUUGGAUAUAACCAGCAUUUACAUGAGAUUUUGAGAGAGAGAUGAAAAGAAGCUUUUAAGGUUUAAAAUUUUUUUGUUAUGAAUACAAAAAUCCCUUUGGGAUUUUUGAGAGACUUUACCAUGUGCCAAUCUAGGGCCAUAGGUUAAACUGGUUAUAACAACAUUUAAAAGUGUCCCUUCUGAGUAAGGCCUUUAUCUUGUUACCUAGCACAAAAUGAUUAUUUUCUUUUGCAGUUUUUUUGAGGAGGUGUCUCCAUGCUUGGCAUGAAAACCAGGGGAGGAAACUACAAGAUGCCCUCCUGUGUACAAUGAGGUAUCCUAGACAUUGACUGUAAAAAGGUAGGACAGUAUUGGAAUGUUGAUCAGAGAAGGCCUCUCAAAGGAUCGGAUAUUUUCAAACUGUUACUUGAAGGAUAAGAAGAAACUGGGAUUGUGAGGAUCAUUGGGCAGAGUCCCAAGGAAAGGGUGAACAAGUGAACAGUGCUUGAGGUGGGCAUGAUUUCAGAAUGCUUGAGGAACAGAAAGGAAGCCAUCAUGGUGCAAAAUUAGUGAACAAGGAAGGAUGUAGGAGAUGAUGUUGGAGAGGCUGCAGGGGCCCCCAACAUCUAGAUCAUUUAGGCUGAGAAGGGUAUGAUAAAGAUGCCCGGCUGGCAGGCAUCCUCCUCAAAUCUCUUCUCUUUUUCGUUCUUUGAAAAAGACUCUUAUCUGGAUAUCUAGCCAGAGACUAAAUUUCCCAGCCUUCCUUAUUGUGACUUGUGGCCACGUGACUAGAGUUAUUACCAGAGGAAUGUGACAGAACAGAUGUGUGCAACACCCACCUUACUUGACUGAAGGGAAUUUACUUGUCUUUAAUUUUCUUCCUUUGAGUGACCAACCACACGAAUAAGGACAAUGUACUAGCCGUGGGCAUGGUGGAGCCACAAGAUGGGAGGAACGUGGCUCCCAAAUGACCUCAUGGAGAACUGGCCUGCCUGGCUGGACUAAGUGAAAGAGAAAUAUGCUUCUCUCUUAUUUAAGCCACUGUAUUUUGAGGUGUUUAUUAUAGUGAUAUAGUCUUUACUAUAAUUAAACCAAUGAGAAAUGUGGACUUUUUUCUAAAUUGGAAACCAUUAGGAAGUUUCAAACAGAUGAAUGUUGUGGCCUAUGUUUGAAAAAGAUCAUUCUGACUUCUGUGUGGAAAACAGACUGUAGGAAGACAAGGGGGAAGAAGUGAGAACUUUGGAGGGGGGCGGCGAAUGCAGAUGUUAUGUGAGGGACAAUGGAAUAAAAUGAUGGCAGUGGACAAGGGUACUCAGGAUAGACUGUGAAUAUAUUUUGGAGGUAGAGCAAAUAGGCUUGUUGAUUUAUUCAAUUUUGGAGACAGUGAAGGAAAAGGGAAAAAAAAUAUGAUUCCUAGGUCUCUGACUUGAAUAACUGAUGAAACAGCAGUGGAAUUUCUUGAAGUGGACAAAACUGAAGUGCAGGGUAGGAUAGGUCACUCUGACUGCAAAACAAACAAAACCCAGAAUACUUGGCAUAAACUGGCAAAAACAAUGAGAACACGUAUUAGCCUACAAAAUGUAGAACAGGCUACGAAGAUUGGUUGUUCCAAAAGUUUAAUAUGUUACCAACAUCUUCUUCUUAGCUCUACUCUUUGCCAUCCAAGUUUAAGCUUUCUCCUAAAGCUGGCUCCCCUUGUGGUCGGUGACUGAGACAACGUGUUUCCUCACUCACCUCCAACAAGGAAGAGAGAAACCAUUUCUCUAAUCGUAUAAUAGAAGUCUUUCUAGCAUGAACUUUCUGACUUAGCUCUGCCAUGUUCUAACUGGCUUAGAUGAAUAAGGAAUAGGCUUGGAGUUACUGCCCUCUGAGUCAUGGCUAAUGCAUAGAGGGCACUAUAUGACACCUGGGCAAAAUCAGGUUCUGUUGGGAAGGGCAGGAGGAGGGAUCGAUUCCGAGCCGUUUUACACUUCAGCUCUUUGUUUCUUCUUCCUGAUCUGUGAAGUGGGGAGAGAGAUAUGCACAGUCUUGGCAGACAGAGGAGGUCCGGGAUCUCACACAGAAAGAGAUUUUUGCAUCUGUCAAAAGAAAGAAACUAAAAAACUGGGAAAUUACAACUGAAGUUUCUCUGGAACCAAGGGGGAAGGCCACUCCUAAUAUCAAAGGGAUCCAUACGGCAAAAUUGCUGCAUAGAUGAGAAAACAGCAGAAGCAGAAGCUACCCUCACCUCCCAUCACUCUUCUGCCUUGAAGCAGAAAAUAAGACCCUCAUUCGAGAGGUGCCCUUCCUUAUCUCUGAAGAUAAAGGCACAACCUUAUCUCUGAAGACAUGGGAACUUCGAGAAGAAUCUCAACAAACAGGGCUUGCUAAGUUCUCCUCAGUUUAUUGGCAUUAGAUUAUACUCUUUUGUCUUCCAGUUGUAUUUCUCUGUGACUGUCCAUGACUCAUCAAACCUAAACAUGAUAAUAUUCAAGUCUACCUGUUUCUUUGGGUCUUCAUUUCCAAAGCCUCCUAUAUCCAUAAAUAUAUUAAAUAAAUGUGUAUGCUUUUAUCUUGUAAACCUGUUAUUCAUUAUAGGGGACCUAAGAUGGAAAGAAAAUAUUUUUUUCAUCCCCUACAGCGUUAAGCCCUGAUUUUGCUUCCUCAGUGAAGACAUCUCAGGCGCUCCAGACUGAGGUUCCUCUAAGCCUCUGCAUUUCCAUGGUGCUUUAAUACCUCUUUUGGAGUAAACUACAUUUUCUGCAUCAAAGACUGUAAUACGUGAUUUGACACCUCAACUGACAAGUAGGCAGACUAUUGAAAAUAAAGGAAAAAUGGGUUUUGCAAUUAUAGUACUUACCAUAUUAUAUUGAAAUUGUGUUUGUACAUGCCUGAGUGGUGAGCUCCUCAAGGACACAGUUGCUUGCCUUUAUAUCCCCUGUUCUAGUUCAAUGCCGGGUGGCUGUUAGCUCCUUCCUCACUUAUUAGAUUAAACAGGACCAAUUUCUCCCCCUUCCUACAAUGGAAUACUGUUCAAUACUAAAAGCAAAUUAGUUGUCAAGUCAUGAAAAGAUAUGAAAGAAAUUUAAAUGCAUAUUACUAAGUGAAAGAAGCCAAUCUGAAAGGGCUAUGUACUGUAGGAUUUCAACUAGAUGACAUUCUGGAAAAGGCAAAACUGUAGAGACAGAAAAAAGAUCAGUGGUUCCCAGGGGCUAAUGGGGAGGAAGGGGUGAUAGAUGGAACACAGAGGAUGUUCAGGGCAGUGAAAGUAUUCUGUAUUGUACUUUAAUGGUGAAUACAUGUCAUUAUACAUUUGCCAAAACUCACACAAUGUAUAUCAAGAAGAAAGCCUAAUGUGAACUGUGAGAUUUUGGGUGAUAGUGAUACAUCAGCAUAGGUUCACUGUAACGAUGAACCACUCUGAUAGGGGUUGUUGAUAGUGAGGGAGCUUAUGUGCAUGUAGGGGGAAGGGGAUAUGUGUAAAAUCUAUAUUUUCUGCUCAAUUUUGCUGUGAACCCAAAACUGUUCUAAAAAGUAAGUUGUAUUUCAAAAAAUCAACACCAUCAAAUGAGGAAAACAUAUGUUUAUGAGCUUCUGUAGUGCUUGAGGAAAAAGUAGUCUUCUAUACUCUCCAUGGCUCAGAAGCCUCCCUGAAUCCCAAGUUGGGUGAGGUAGAUACUCCCUGCACCUGCCACCUCCCAAUUCACACAUUUGCUCAUUCAUCUUCUCUGCAGGACCGUAAGCCCCGUGAGGGCAAAGACUGUGUUUGGUUUCAGUGCUGCACCGUCAUUGCCUGGUGCAAGGCCUGGCACCUAUUAACACACAUGUGCUCAAUCAGCAAAUCAAGAUGUGGGCAGCUAGCUAGCUGUCCUAAAGCAUGCUUGACUCCAGCCAUAUCUCUGGAUACUUCAUAGUACAAUUCUGCAGGAAAUCAGUGGUGCCCAGUGCUGCAAGUGGCAUUUUCUCCAGAGAAGACGGGGCAAUUUCUUUCUGUGGUAUGUUGAGCUCUGCUUGGGAGCACAUCUGAAAAAAAA